rnacentral:rRNA from 1 species
GAUGAACGCUGGCGGCGUGCCUAAUACAUGCAAGUCGAGCGAACAGACGAGGAGCUUGCUCCUCUGACGUUAGCGGCGGACGGGUGAGUAACACGUGGAUAACCUACCUAUAAGACUGGGAUAACUUCGGGAAACCGGAGCUAAUACCGGAUAAUAUAUUGAACCGCAUGGUUCAAUAGUGAAAGACGGUUUUGCUGUCACUUAUAGAUGGAUCCGCGCCGCAUUAGCUAGUUGGUAAGGUAACGGCUUACCAAGGCGACGAUGCGUAGCCGACCCGAGAGGGUGAUCGGCCACACUGGAACUGAGACGCGGUCCAGACUCCUACGGGAGGCAGCAGUAGGGAAUCUUCCGCAAUGGGCGAAAGCCUGACGGAGCAACGCCGCGUGAGUGAUGAAGGUCUUCGGAUCGUAAAACUCUGUUAUUAGGGAAGAACAAAUGUGUAAGUAACUAUGCACGUCUUGACGGUACCUAAUCAGAAAGCCACGGCUAACUACGUG